rnacentral:tRNA from 1 species
GGGUAAUUAGCUCAGUUGGUUUAGAGCGCUGCUUUGACAGAGCAGAGGUCACAGGUUCGAGUCCUGUAUUACCCACGA